UAUAUCUUCAAGUCCCACCUCAUCCUUGUGGUGUACAGUGAUGAAAAUCUUCUGUGCUGCACAGCUUUUGUUACCUCCUGAGGCACAGGUCCUCUGAUGCACCCAUGAGCAGGUUUGGCUUGAGCCCAGCUUCAUCCUGAGCUCAGCAGGCUGCAGUGGGAGGCCUACCUGUGACUCCUGUGACUGACCUGAAAGAAUUCCUCAUACAGAACUUCAGAGCAUUUAUGUUGGCCUGCACUCGCCUCUGUGCGUGGGUGGAAGUCUGAGCAAUUUUACUCUUCCAGACAAAGAGAAGAGAAGACCAACUGCUUCAGCCAGUGGUAUGACAGAGUCUGCUUGUGCGUCAUCCCCAGUGGGAGCUGCAGGAGACAGCGCACCCUUCCCUAACUGUAUGUUCCCCAAAAACUUGGGGGACCACAUCCACCCUACUACCCUUUGAAAAUGGAGCUAAAGCAUGCUUCUUUGUGUAGGGAGGGAAUUCAACUGGUGAGCACAGACUGUGGGUAACCACUCCAGCAUUCCCACGCAUUGCCAAGCACCCGCAAGCCUUGAAUUUACGAGCUCAGUCUGAGUUGCAAAUUGAACGAGACCUGCUUCUUUUGAAUUUCCUAGCUUCAUAGUUUUGAUCCUUAUGUUUCAUUGCGUUAAAUCCUUUCAUGUUUGGGACAGUAUAAAACUUCUGUUUUCUUUUUCUGCAUUAGCAAGAAAGAGUCACUUUGUAUUCUGGGUGUUUUGCAAAAGAUGUUUAACUGAAAUUGUUGUUUAUUGUCAUAACCGAAAAGCACUUCCUUUCAUGUUUCAUUUUAAAUGCAGCUCUGAUGCUCACAAAUAAUAAAAUACAAACUCAUCUUUGCAGUUGCAAAAGUUGGUAAAGCACA